AUCUUGGUCGGCUCAAUGGUUCAGUGCUUAUUCGUUGGGCUUGAAACCAAGGGAUCUCAGGUUCGAAUCCUGGCUAUGACC